GAGAAAGCGAUGUUGGUGAGGUUCAAUCCGAAGACAGAUUUACACAUCCCUGCUGGCGUAAAUUGAUCUCAGAUUGAGCCGCGCCAAUAUCACUUUCUU
rnacentral:pre_miRNA from 1 species